AACACCUCUCCUUGGACAACUAUGCCUGUGCUAUGCAGUCCUCAGUCUGGGUGAAUCCCAGGGGUCUCCCCCAGUGGUCCUUGGAGAAGGAGGUCUCACACAAACUGGCUCAUUGUCAAUCAACAAGCAUCGGUUAAAAACCUGGUAGGCCUUGAGGACCAGCCCAGUUGAUUCUGGAGAGGCUUACCACCUAAGCUGGCCACCGAAGAAUGGAAGCUUCUCCUGUAACAACUCAAGAAGAUUGUCCACUACGAUGCUGGGGAGGGGAGGGGUCAUGAUCAACCCUGGUGGAGGGAAACACACACCUGUUGUAUUGAAGCUCAAAUCACACCUUCUCAGGAAAACCAGGCCUGACUAUCCUGUCUCUCACCAAACUGGACAGGUAACUCUCUGUUUUAUACACCAGCAUUUUUUACAUGAUGCCUCAUGGCUCACUGAAGCUUCCUGAUCAAA
rnacentral:lncRNA from 1 species